rnacentral:rRNA from 1 species
GCUACGGGUGGCAGCAGUGAGGAAUAUUGGUCAAUGGGCGGAAGCCUGAACCAGCCAAGUAGCGUGCGGGAUGACGGCCCUACGGGUCGUAAACCGCUUUUGCACGGGGAUAACACCCUCCACUUGUGGAGGUCUGCAGGUACCGUACGAAUAAGGGCCGGCUAAUUCCGUGCCAGCAGCCGCGGUAAUACGGAAGGCCCGAGCGUUAUCCGGAUUCAUUGGGUUUAAAGGGAGGGUAGGCGGGCGUUCAAGUCAGCGGUAAAAUCGCGCGGCUCAACCGCGCCCCGCAGUUGAAACUGGACGCCUCGAGUGCACAACAGGCAGGCGGAAUGUGUGGUGUAGCGGUGAAAUGCAUAGAGAUCACGCGGAACACCGAUUGCGAAGGCAGCCUGCCGGGGUGCGACUGACGUUGAGGCUCGAAGGUGCGGGUAUCAAACAGGAUUAGAUACCCGGGUAGUC